GUUCUUCACAAAUCUGGGUUCUGAGGACAGACAACAGAUAUAUGUUCACAUUUCCACACCCAGAGCAAGCGAGACCAGCCUGAGGAAAGUUCUGGGGUGGAGAAUAUCAGCCUCAGAGCCAAACAUAGAGGCCAGUCAUCCUUCUCUAGUGUAACUGUGAUUUGUGUCCUACAGGUGGAGUGGGCAUGAGGUAAUUAGGCCAUGCAGGAGAUUUAUGGCAGCGUUUUUUUCUAUACUGCUGAGGUUGACCUCAGUCCUGUCUAUGUUCAGCAGGUCACUGAGUAUAUAUUAUAAAAUGGGAAAUUCAGCACAUGGUUUUGAAGGUCUUGAGAAGUAAGCUAGCAGCCAAGCAAUGGUGGCGCAUGCCUUUAAUCCCAGCGCUUGGGAGGCAGAGGCAGGCAGAUUUCUGAGUUCGAGGUCAGCCUGGUCUACAGAGUGAGUUCCAGGAUAGUGAGGGCAACGCAGAGAAACCUUGUCUCAAACAAAACAAAACAAAACAAAACAAAACAAGAAGUGAGCUAGUUGUCUUGAAGAUGGAUGGUUUUAAAAGAUUGCAUCUUUCUCCUGAGUCACCGACCACCUUGCCAUGUGGCCCCUUCAAACCAUGCUUCUGUCAUGAGACCAUUGUCAUGAGCGGAUGCAGCCAGAGGCCUCAGCUGGUAGGGCCACCCGACGUAACUUCCAGUUCCAAUGCUGUGAUUGCCUUUGUCUUUAUAAAUCGCCAGUCUUGGGGAAAUGCUUCAGUGGUUAAGAGCACUGGCUGCUCUUCCAGAGAACCCAGGUUCAAUCCCCAGCACCCACAUGGCGGCUCACAACUGUAACUCCAGUUCUAAGGCAUCUGAUACCCUCACACAGAUAUACAUGCAAGUACAUCACCACCAGUGAAAUAAGUGAAAGGAACAAUACAGGCCCAUGUGCAGAAUACCUGGUAAAGUGAUACCACAUGUGCCUGGUGGUACAGCCACCACGGGCUCUUCACUGGGUUUUACUGUGCAUCAUGAUAGAGGCAAGAUGACUCUUUUAGUUAUGUCUUCAUCUAUCUGGCCCUGAGGUUACCCUCAUCUACCCAGGCUGCUGGGAGCUGGAGAGAACAAGUUUCUAGAUGUUGCUGUUCUCAAAUCAAAACAUAUUCCACUGCUGGCCUCAGGGCUAAUUCCUGUCCUACAGGGAAGCAGAAGGUGGCUCUAAGAACAGAGCCCUCAUCAAGCCCACGUUGCCUUGGUGUGGGCCCUUGGCAGCUGCCCCAGAGUCUCCUUCCCACCAAGCUGGCCACAGGGCCUGUUAUGAACUAAGUAUUGAAUUUUAUAAGCAUAACUUUUGCCUUCCUUUGAACCUACUGUCAAACCAGUCCCUAAAUGUAAGAUGCUUUCAGGCCCAAUGAUUCAUUUAGCAGGAAAGAAGGAAGGUUAUGGCCAUGAUGCUGGGAUGAAGCAGAAAUACUUGGGGUAUGUGUGCAUGGGUCCAAGUGUUCUAUGUGUGGAUGUCUUUGGGGAGUUGUGCAGGUCCCCAUGUAUGUCUUAGAAGUUCAUGGAUCUCUGUAUAUAGUCCCUGUGUACACACACACACACACACACACACACACACACACACACACACACAAAACCCUAGUUUGUAAAUGUAAAUGUACACUGGGUGUUGCCUGCCUGUGUGAAGUUGUGUGUUCCUGUGGGAGUGAGAUCUGUGUACAGGAGGCAUCCCUGUUGGAGAAUAAGCAAGAGGAUCUGUGAAUAGGCUGCUGGCAUGUGUAGUGUGUCACAGCGUAAUGGUGGCCUGGCACUCUGGUGGGAAAUCAAGGAGCAGUAUUAGUGUUGCUAGCUAGCACAGCUGUAUACAGACUUCUGCCUCUACUGCUUAUCAUGCAGGCUACACCGGGCUCUGGGCUGAACGAGGUCUCUGCUCCCAUACCAAAGGCACCCCUCAGAGGAGACAAGCAGUUUUGUCCAUACUGGAGAGGCCAAGCACCUGAGAGGGAGACCAGCUCUACUGCAGGCUCCCUUGGAAGCCUAAUCCUUGUUUUGAACACCUAGUUCUACUCCUGUUCUUGGCUCACGGAUCUCCUUGAUCCCUUUGUUUGUGAAUUAACCUUUCAAUGUCUGCUCUUGGCUGCUUCUUGACACACUCUGACCCGGUUUUCUAUCCAAGGACUUGUCUUCUGAGUCCCACUUGCAGAGGAAAAAGACUCUGUUGUAUUACUUUUCCCUGGUGGGGUGAAAAGAAACCUCUGUUUGCGCAGACAGGGCACUGAGGUGACAGACACUGCAGAGACACUUCUCAGCUCUAGCUUGUUGACUUAGUUUGACUGGUUAAUACACACACACACACACACACACACACACACACACACACACGUAUCUCUCUCACACACACACGUAUCUCACACAUACACGUAUCUCUCUCUCUCUCUCUCUCUCUCACACACACAUACACACACAAUGUAUAUAACAUACGGUGUGUGUGUGUGUAUUGGGUUUGCUCAUGUUUGACCACCCAUGGAAGCCAGAAAAAGGUGUCAGAUCCCUUGGAGCUAUAAUUACAGGCAGCUGAGAACCGAGUUUCAGUCCUGGGAAAGAGGAAGUGCUCGUAACUGCUGUGCCACUCACUGGUUUAUUUUUAGCCAGCUGAGGAUCUUAUUUGGAUACUGAUUUUUGGUUUCAGAGCAUUCAGGUUUAAGGUCUUCACUUUUGUUCCAGACAGACAUCUAAUUAUUUUUUGUUUGGUUUGUGUCUUAGUCAGGAUUUCAUUGCUGUGAACAGACACCAUAACCAAAGAAUCAACUCUUAUAAAGGACAACAUUUAAUUGAGACUGGCUUUCAGUCCUUUAUCAUCAAGGCAAGAACAAGGCAGCAUCCAGGCAGAUGUGGGGCUGGAGGAGCUGAGAGCUCCACCUCUUGUUCUGAAGGCAGCUAGGACAAGACUGGCUUGCAGGCAGCUAAGAAGAAGGUCUUAAAUAAGACCACGCCCACAACGACACACUUCCUCCAACAAGGCCACACCCACUCUAACAAGGCCACACCUCCAAAUAGUGCCACUCCCUGGGCCAAGCAUAUUUAAACUACCACAGUUGAGUUUGUUAAUUUGUUAGCAUUCACAUUGUUGCUCCUGCUGCACCCCCACUACCUCCAGGAAAUGAAGAAUCACUUACCGAAAAGAUUCCAUUUGGUACUUCAGCUGUUGAUAUGUUUGGUAACUAUGUAAAUUCAACUUGAAAGUAUUUAGAAAAAUAAAAUUUAGAAAUCU
rnacentral:lncRNA from 1 species